UAAAAGGGCCCUCAGUGGUCAGAAUCAGGGUUACCAGUUAACCCUGGAUAAACAUUCUGACAUAUGCUGGAUCACCCUCAAUGUGUGGAUUUGGGAUCCAAAGGAUACCCACCCACUUUGGGGUGGUUGGGUAUGGAGCAUCAAGACAUACCCAGGGUAUAAUUUUUGUACCAGUGGGACAGUUAUUGCGCAAAUGCAACGACGUCCCC
rfam:Phlebotomus papatasi Contig2164.1, whole genome shotgun sequence.